UUGAUCCUGGCUCAGAUUGAACGCUGGCGGCAGGCCUAACACAUGCAAGUCGAGCGGAAACGGCAGGCUUUAUUGAAGCUUCGGUGGAUUUACUGGACGUCGAGCGGCGGACGGGUGAGUAACGGCUGGGAACCUGCCCUGACGAGGGGGAUAACCGUUGGAAACGACGGCUAAUACCGCAUAAUGUCUUAGAUUCAUUAGAGCUGGGACCAAAGGUGGCCUCUACAUGUAAGCUAUCGCGUUGGGAUGGGCCCAGUUAGGAUUAGCUAGUUGGUAAGGUAAUGGCUUACCAAGGCAACGAUCCUUAGCUGGUUUGAGAGGAUGAUCAGCCACACUGGGACUGAGACACGGCCCAGACUCCUACGGGAGGCAGCAGUGGGGAAUAUUGCACAAUGGGGGAGACCCUGAUGCAGCCAUGCCGCGUGUGUGAAGAAGGCCUUCGGGUUGUAAAGCACUUUCAGCAGUGAGGAAGGUCGUGUACUUAAUACGUGCACGGCUUGACGUUAGCUGCAGAAGAAGCACCGGCUAACUCCGUGCCAGCAGCCGCGGUAAUACGGAGGGUGCGAGCGUUAAUCGGAAUUACUGGGCGUAAAGCGCAUGCAGGCGGUUUGUUAAGUCAGAUGUGAAAGCCCGGGGCUCAACCUCGGAACCGCAUUUGAAACUGGCAGGCUAGAGUCUUGUAGAGGGGGGUAGAAUUUCAGGUGUAGCGGUGAAAUGCGUAGAGAUCUGAAGGAAUACCAGUGGCGAAGGCGGCCCCCUGGACAAAGACUGACGCUCAGAUGCGAAAGCGUGGGUAGCAAACAGGAUUAGAUACCCUGGUAGUCCACGCCGUAAACGCUGUCUACUUGGAGGUUGAGGUUUUAGACUUUGGCUUUCGGAGCUAACGCAUUAAGUAGACCGCCUGGGGAGUACGGCCGCAAGGUUAAAACUCAAAUGAAUUGACGGGGGNCCGCACAAGCGGUGGAGCAUGUGGUUUAAUUCGAUGCAACGCGAAGAACCUUACCUACUCUUGACAUCCAGCGAAGCCUUUAGAGAUAGAGGUGUGCCUUCGGGAGCGCUGAGACAGGUGCUGCAUGGCUGUCGUCAGCUCGUGUUGUGAAAUGUUGGGUUAAGUCCCGCAACGAGCGCAACCCUUAUCCUUGUUUGCCAGCACNUAAUGGUGGGAACUCCAGGGAGACUGCCGGUGAUAAACCGGAGGAAGGUGGGGACGACGUCAAGUCAUCAUGGCCCUUACGAGUAGGGCUACACACGUGCUACAAUGGCAGAUACAGAGGGCAGCGAGACAGCGAUGUUUAGCGAAUCCCUUAAAGUUUGUCGUAGUCCGGAUUGGAGUCUGCAACUCGACUCCAUGAAGUCGGAAUCGCUAGUAAUCGUGGAUCAGAAUGCCACGGUGAAUACGUUCCCGGGCCUUGUACACACCGCCCGUCACACCAUGGGAGUGGGCUGCACCAGAAGUAGAUAGCUUAACCUUUUCGGGAGGGCGUUUG
rnacentral:rRNA from 1 species